CUGGGGGAGGGGAGAGGGGAUUAACCCUUCUCUUGCCUGAGCCUAUCCCCAAUCAAAGGGGUCCCUCUUAUUGAAUUCCUUCAUUUUCCUCCUUGAAGAUCAAUAUUGAUCGUGAAAGUCCAUUUUAAAAGGAGGGAGGUCUUGAAAAAAGCAUUUCCUUAUUAGUUCAGGCUGUGCUUGUUAUAUCUGCCGGAUUUGAUCGAUUCCAAAUCAACAGCACAAUGAUUUCUGCAAAGAUAAAUUCAAAGUUCUUUGUGGG